rnacentral:sRNA from 1 species
UAGAGGCAGCGGAGACAGGAACGAAGCCAAGGUGGCAGAGGUGGGAGGGAAACA